rnacentral:piRNA from 1 species
CCCCGGUGCGAAUCGCCUACAUGCUGGU